UAAAGGAACAAGAAGAGGUGGGUAGAUGAUUAUAAGAUACACACGAAGACACAGGAUAAGUGCAUUGACGCUUACCUUUGCGAAGAGCAAUAGGAAGAUCAUCACUUGAGACAGGAUCUAGUAACGAAGGAACUGGUUCAGGGCAUGUAGCAGGAGACUUUUGUCGUUGAGAAUAUACCUGAGUAAUUGGAGGUUUAGCAGGGGAAGAUCUUGAAGAUGUGACUG
rnacentral:lncRNA from 1 species